rnacentral:rRNA from 1 species
UCGUCAGCUCGUGUCGUGAGAUGUUGGGUUAAGUCCCGCAACGGGCGCAACCCUUGUUAUUAGUUGCCAGCAUUAAGUUGGGCACUCUAAUGAGACUGCCGGUGACAAACCGGAGGAAGGUGGGGAUGACGUCAAGUCAUCAUGCCCCUUAUGACCUGGGCUACACACGUGCUACAAUGGGCAGUACAACGAGAAGCAAGCCUGCGAAGGCAAGCGAAUCUCUGAAAGCUGUUCUCAGUUCGGACUGCGGUCUGCAACUCGACUGCACGAAGCUGGAAUCGCUAGUAAUCGCGGAUCAGCACGCCGCGGUGAAUACGUUCCCGGGCCUUGUACACACCGCCCGUCACACCAUGGGAGUCUGCAAUGCCCAAAGCCGGUGGCCUAACCUUCGGGAAGGAGCCGUCUAAGGCAGGGCAGAUGACUGGGGUGAAGUCGUAACAAGGUAACCGUA